rnacentral:tRNA from 1 species
GUGGGUAUAGCUCAGUGGCAGAGUGCAUGCUUAGCGUGAACAAUGUCCUGGGUUCAACCCCCAGUGCUUCCA